UUUAGCUGUGACACCCAUGGCCUCACCAGGUCAGCUAACUUGGGCUCAUGGGGUUCAAGUAGCGGGGCUAAAAAGUGCUGUGUAGACAUUCAGGCUCACGCUGGAGCCCAAGAUCUGAGACCUUCAACCCUGGCAGGGUCCCACACAGCUCAGGAAUCAGCCCAAGCCCAAAUGUCUACACAACAGUUUUUUAGCCCUGGAGCCCAAGUCCCAUGAGCCUGAGUCAGCUGACAGGACCAGCCAUGGGUUUUUUAAUCCCUGUGUAGAUAUGCCUUCUGAGUACCUUUUCCUGGCCUAAAAGAGCUCUGUGUAGUUUGAAAGCUUGUCUCUCUGACUAACAGAAGUUGGUUCAAUAAAAGAUUAUUACCUCACUUAGCUUCUCUCUCUAAUAAAAAAUAAUAGUACUUUUCAUUUAGAUUUACAUUGUAGAGAAGAUGCACAAUAAGAGACAUAAAAAAGCCUUCACAGAUGAUAGAUUGCUCUGCUUUUGUGACCAUUGGAAGAUACGCAAUUUACCUUUUCACUUCUAUAUAUUUGAUCUUAAAGGCACAAUCUAGCUCUUAGAUAUAUAGCAGCUGUGAGGGAGCUGCUUAAAUUGCUUUUCUAAGAAAAACAGUUAAUCUCAACAAAUUAGGCAUACUAUAUGUAAUCAAAAUGUAUAGAUGUAUUUGGCUGGGAUUAACAGCCAGAUAAUCAUAUGGAGACAACUGCAGCUGUAUUUGUUUAGCCAGCAAUGAACUGCAGCUGGAAGCAUCACUGCUACCUGAGUUAAACAGGUAGCUAGGCAGCUAACGACUAACAAACCCAAACAUUCAUGACUUGCUAAUUUGUGCCCACAAUGAAUCUGCAGGGACAACAAUAUGAGAGCCUGUAAAAAAGAGAAACUCAUCAAACAGUUGAAAGUAGUACAAGCUGCCAAUGAAGCUGCUGCUGCCCCGAAUGAUGUAGCCAUUCUGAAUUUUGUGCAAAUGUCCUAGCACCAAGCUCCCAUCUGGUUCCAGGCACAUGGUUCCGUUAAUCACUUUAUCAGACAAUAGGUUGCCAUUGUGGUAGACUUGCAGCAGUCUCUUAUUACCAUCCCAUAGACAGCACACAUUGUGCCAUAUAAAAAGAGUUAAAUCAAGCUCAAUGUCUAUCUUUAUGCCAAAAAGAUACAGACUUAGAGGUUUGUUUUCACUGCCGAGUCUGAGCUCGAGAUCAUUUAUGUCAGUGGAGUUGCUGUUGUUUGUAUGGUAUGAAAAUGCUGUCCAAGAACUGACAUUUGUGGUUCUGUUUAGAUCAAUGCACACAGUGAAUUGCCUUAGUGGGGGGGUGCUGUUGUUGGCCAAGGAUACUUACUUAUCAUUCCUUCCAAAUAAAUCUAGUUUUUUUUCCUUUCAGGAAAUUUGUUUCUGUAAAAAUGGUGGGGAGGGCAGGGUGUGUAAAAGAAGAAGAAAAUCUCACUUUUCAGAGAGAAAACUGCAACAUGACCUCAUUCAGGUGAUUGAGAGAGCCUGGAGAACCAUGCUGGGAUAGGCUAUGUUAAUAUCAAUUACCCAUCAUUCUGACAAGUUACAUCAGAGGUUUGGUGUAAUAGCCAACAGCCCCAGAUCCUCGAGUGAAAAAUCUCUUUGGGAAGGUUAGAGGAAGAUGUGACACAAAAAGCUAAAAAAUCUCAAUAUGAAAUAAAUGUAAUGAAAUGAAGCUUGUACAAAAUGGCUCCGCCACAAAGGCCACGUUUGGCUGUUCAGACCCAAACAGAAUGUUCAGUUGCACAAACCUUCUUAGGGUGUUUUUGCUCCUCUUUGGAUAUGCAAAGAUUUUUGCCAUGGAGGUUUCUAUGGAGACUUUUAAAAUUUUCCAAAUUUCAGUGUACUGUAAUUAUGUCAAAAGCCUGUCUGCUGGGAGUCUGAGUGUCAGAAUGAGGAAUGCGGAUGUGUGGUUCACUAGCAUUCUUGCCACCGACUACUUUAUUGAAAUGGAAAGAUUCAUAUGCCCCGAGCCUUAAUAGCUGCUUUCUGUUUCUUAGACCUUUCAGCACAGAAUGGCUGUCCUCCUUCCCAAAUAACUCCAUGAAUCAUUGUCUAAGU